rnacentral:rRNA from 1 species
AUGCAAGUCGGACGGUAGCACAGAGAGCUUGCUCUUGGGUGACGAGUGGCGGACGGGUGAGUAAUGUCUGGGGAUCUGCCCGAUAGAGGGGGAUAACCACUGGAAACGGUGGCUAAUACCGCAUAACGUCGCAAGACCAAAGAGGGGGACCUUCGGGCCUCUCACUAUCGGAUGAACCCAGAUGGGAUUAUCUAGUAGGCGGGGUAAUGGCCCACCUAGGCGACGAUCCCUAUCUGGUCUGAGAGGAUGACCAGCCACACUGGAACUGAGACACGGUCCAGACUCCUACGGGAGGCAGCAGUGGGGAAUAUUGCACAAUGGGCGCAAGCCUGAUGCAGCCAUGCCGCGUGUAUGAAGAAGGCCUUCGGGUUGUAAAGUACUUUCAGCGGGGAGGAAGGCGGUGAGGUUAAUAACCUUACCGAUUGACGUUACCCGCAGAAGAAGCACCGGCUAACUCCGUGCCAGCAGCCGCGGUAAUACGGAGGGUGCAAGCGUUAAUCGGAAUUACUGGGCGUAAAGCGCACGCAGGCGGUCUGUUAAGUCAGAUGUGAAAUCUCCGGGCUUAUCCUGGGAACUGCAUUUGAAACUGUCAGGCUUGAGUCUUGUAGAGGGGGGGAGAAUUCCAGGUGUAGCGGUGAAAUGCGUAGAGAUCUGGAGGAAUACCGGUGGCGAAGGCGGUCCCCUGUACAAAGACUGACGCUCUGUGCGAAAGCGUGUGGAGCAAAACAGGAUUAGAUACCCUGGUAGUCCACGUCGUAAACGAUGUCGACUUG